rnacentral:rRNA from 1 species
UACGUAGGGGGCAAGCGUUGUCCGGAAUCAUUGGGCGUAAAGAGCGUGUAGGCGGCCCGGUAAGUCCGCUGUGAAAGUCCAGGGCUCAACCCUGGGAUGCCGGUGGAUACUGUCGGGCUCGAGUCCGGAAGAGGCGAGUGGAAUUCCUGGUGUAGCGGUGAAAUGCGCAGAUAUCAGGAAGAACACCCGUGGCGAAGGCGGCUCUCUGGGACGGUACUGACGCUGAGACGCGAAAGCGUGGGGAGCGAACAGG